GUGUUCCAGUUUGCACCCAUUGCCCCUUGUCCUAUCACUGGUUGUCACCAGAAGAGCCUGGCUCCAUCCUCCUGACACUCCCCCUUUCCAUAUUGAUCCCCAGGAAUGAGUCCCCCCUCAGUCUCCUCUUGUCCAGCUCCAGAGCCCCAGCUCCCUCAGCCUUUCCUCACACGGGAGAUGCUCCACUCCCUUCAGCAUCUUGGUGGCUGCGCUGGACUCUCUCCAGCAGUUCCCUGUCCUGCUGGAACUGAGGGGCCACAGCUGGACACAAUAUUCCAGGUGUGGUCUCCCCAGGGCAGAGCAGAGGGGCAGGAGAACCUCUCUGACCUACUGACCACCCCCUUCUAACCCACCCCAGGUACCAUUGGCUUCCUGGCCACAAGGGCCCAGUGCUGGCUCAUGGUCACCCUGCUGUCCCCAGGACCCCCAGGUCCCUUUCCCCUACACUGCUCUGCAACAGGUUGUUCCCCAACUUAUACUGGAACCUGGGGUUGUUCCUGCCCAGGUACAAGACUCUACACACUUCAUAUUGCCACCAUUUCCAUCUCUGCUGAGGGGGCCGCAUGGCGCUUGUGUGCAAAUGGAGUUGCUGUUUGUUCGCUGGAGCUUUGUCUUUCACUAAACCUGGAGAAGGUGCCUCAUUAGGCACUUGUGGCAUCUUCUGCGCUCAUUACUAUGGAAAUGGCCGUAAGGUUACAAUCCCACGUGAGUGGAUAAUCAGGAGGAACUGUACCUGGGGGAAAUGAACCCGUGUGUGUGGAUGUAACUGACUGUGCCUUCCCCUCCUGCUGUGCGACUCCACAGGGAGGAGAAUUAAAGCAAACAGGAGCUCAUGGUAACAGGAUUAAGGCUGAACAUUUAUUUGGAAAUAGUAGUUCAGUAUGACUAGAGGAGAAACGGGGAGCGGCAGAGCCUGAGCGGGGAAGAUGGUCCAAAUCUGGCCUGAGAGGUACAGGGAAGUUAAGGAAGAAAAGCUUGACUUUCUAAAAUAAAGUGAUGUGAUUCUUGUCAAAUAGAUCCCUUGAAAUUGGAGAAUGAAGCCAAGGAAUCCAGGGGCCAUCUCUGAUGGGAACAGCCUUUUUGGGAUGGGGGAAGAGAGUUCAGUAGGAAGGAAGCAGGGUUUUCAGUGGCCAUAAAGAUGUUGUUAUGUACACUAGUCUGAUAUAUUCACCAGGAAAAGGGAAAAUUUCUCUGUGGACAUUCAGUUUAUUAAAAGUUUCAGUGAUGGUUUUCAGGGCAAUGCCAAUUAAUUAAAGGGCUGGUGGUAUUUGCUUUGAAAAUGUUUGAAAAGCCACCUCUAAUUCUGAUUAUUUUUCUAAAUGCUCCUGGAAAAUGUGGAUAUUUAUUCUACUGGAAGCAUAACAAAGAUCAUCUUAAUUCCUGCAAGAUAGAAGAAUUUACUAGAGACCACUAUUAUAUAGCUGUUAAAUUAAACCAACGUCCUUCAGCCCUUAAUCUUUGGGCCCGGCCGCGGUGGCAGGAGCGGCUCUGUGAGGGGAUUGGCCGGCGGGACAGCUCAGCUUUCCCAUACAACACCACCCCUGGACCAGAAAACGUACAGGGGAAACUUCAGCUCUAAUGACAAGUGAUAAGAAAUGUCUGUUCAUUUCCACGGGGAAACAGGGUUGUGGAAAGAAAUUAUUCUCUCAGAAAGGAAAUAAAACUCGGAGCCUUUUUUUCGCCAUUGAACAGUUAUUUUUCUUUUUUUUUUUUUUUUUAAUAAAGUCAUUAUAAAUAUGUACAAAGAGUUUCAGCAUAUGAAAUUCCUUUUACAAAAGAGAGAAGCCACAUCCAACCAUGACCAGGAGCCUUCAUGAACUGGGAUGAUCAGCAGGGAGCAGAGGGGGGAAACUCGCACAGUGACUCUGCAAGAGUUUAAAUCCAAACAGUCCUAAAGCGGGAAUGUGCAGGGAGUUGCGUAUUCACUGCGUUUGCUCUGGGUUAUCCCGUUAGCAACACGCCUGGGAGCAGACGGGAAGACCUGCAAAUGUCCCAAGGACUGAAGGUGAUGGGAAGAUCUUUAUCUUGGGAUAAUCUCUGGUCUUUGAAUGGAUUGGAAAGGUUGUGCUGUGAUAGCCCUGAAUGCAUUGUAGCUGGUUUUGCUCUCUGCUUAGGUGGCGUCUGUAACUAAUAACAGAUGUAACUAAUAAUGGCAGUUCAACCCCCAGAUGCUUUCAGUGAAUAUUUGUCAAGCUCCAGAGUCACUUGCUGUAAAUAUUAAAAAACCUGUGAAAUUCAAGUACUCAAGUAUUCACGCACUUGAACGCUGUAGAAGUGUCAUUGGAGUUACACAAAAAUUCACUCUUGUAUUCAAAUAAAGAUUGUCAAAAAUAAUUAAUAAUAA